rnacentral:siRNA from 1 species
CUGUUUCGUUUGUGCCCUGUAG